rnacentral:rRNA from 1 species
GAAACACGGACCAAGGAGUCUAGCAUGUGCGCGAGUCAUUGGGAAUCACUAAACCUAAAGGCGCAAUGAAAGUGAAGGUUCGCCUAGCGCGGACCGAGGGAGGAUGGGUGUGCGCGUUCGCGCGCCGCUCCGCACUCCCGGGGCGUCUCGUUCUCAUUGCGAGAAGAGGCGCACCAUGAGCGUACACGCUGGGACCCGAAAGAUGGUGAACUAUGCCUGGUCAGGACGAAGUCAGGGGAAACCCUGAUGGAGGUCCGUAGCGAUUCUGACGUGCAAAUCGAUCGUCGGAACUGGGUAUAGGGGCGAAAGACUAAUCGAACCAUCUAGUAGCUGGUUCCCUCCGAAGUUUCCCUCAGGAUAGCUGGCGCUCGUCGCCUACGAGUCUCAUCCGGUAAAGCGAAUGAUUAGAGGCAUUGGGGUCGAAACGGCCUCAACCUAUUCUCAAACUUUAAAUGGGUGAGAUCUCCGGCUUGCUCGAACUUAUGAAGCCGCGAGACACGGAUCAGAGUGCCAAGUGGGCCAUUUUUGGUAAGCAGAACUGGCGCUGUGGGAUGAACCAAACGCCGAGUUAAAGCGCCUAAAUCGACGCUUAUGGGAUACCAUGAAAGGCGUUGGUAACUUAAGACAGCAGGACGGUGGCCAUGGAAGUCGGAAUCCG